rnacentral:rRNA from 1 species
GACGAACGCUGGCGGCGUGCUUAACACAUGCAAGUCGAACGGAAAGGCCCUGCUUUUGUGGGGUGCUCGAGUGGCGAACGGGUGAGUAACACGUGAGUAACCUGCCCUUGACUUUGGGAUAACUUCAGGAAACUGGGGCUAAUACCGGAUAGGAGCUCCUGCUGCAUGGUGGGGGUUGGAAAGUUUCGGCGGUUGGGGAUGGACUCGCGGCUUAUCAGCUUGUUGGUGGGGUAGUGGCUUACCAAGGCUUUGACGGGUAGCCGGCCUGAGAGGGUGACCGGCCACAUUGGGACUGAGAUACGGCCCAGACUCCUACGGAAGGCAGCUGUGGGGAAUAUUGCACAAUGGGCGGAAGCCUGAUGCAGCAACGCCGCGUGCGGGAUGACGGCCUUCGGGUUGUAAACCGCUUUCGCCUGUGACGAAGCGUGAGUGACGGUAAUGGGUAAAGAAGCACCGGCUAACUACGUG